UACGUAGGUGGCAAGCGUUGUCCGGAUUUACUGGGCGUAAAGAGCGCGCAGGCGGUCGAUCAAGUCGCGUGUGAAAGCCCCCGGCUCAACUGGGGAGGGUCACGCGAUACUGAUCGACUCGAAGGCAGGAGAGGGUAGUGGAAUUCCCGGUGUAGUGGUGAAAUGCGCAGAUAUCAGGAGGAACACCAAUGGCGAAGGCAGCUCGCUGGGACGGUAUUGACGCUGAGACGCGAAAGCGUGGGGAGCAAACAGG
rnacentral:rRNA from 1 species